GAUGACGCUCUCCUUGCGUACCAAACUGCUUUUGAUCUUGCUGAAAAUGAAAACCAGGCUUUCCUCCUAAAUGUGCGGAAUCACCUUGAUGCAUUGAGUUCACAUACUUCUGCCCAUGUGUACCCUGCGAGCAGACUGGUUGUACAAAGUAAUCAAACUAAUGCUGCUACAGAACCAUCUGAGGAUGUCCAGAUGAGGGAUGACAUAACCAUGCCAAAUGACAGUGCUGCCACUAUGGAUCCAAAUGCAGCAACACAUCCUGAUAGGCUGACAAAUCAAGGGUAUAUUGUCAGGAGAGACAUCUAUUCUGUUGAUGUUGCAGUUCCUAUACAACCAUAAUAGGCCUGAUCUUCAAAUUUUGAAGACUAAGCAAGCUGUGGAAAUGAGGAACAAUGUCUGUCACAACACAAGGACAACAGUUGAUACCUUCCUCAGAGAAAAAUUGGUGUGGUUUGUUUUAUACAGUGUACUUGCUCUAAACUGCUUAGCAUUUUCAAUUUUAAUAGAAACCAGCAACGCACGGGCACCUAACUAUAUUAUUUAUGAUUGACAUUUUUUAAAGUAUUAGUCUUAGUUUUUUAGUUGCUAUAGUUUGCAUGUAGGUUUUACAUGAAAUAAUCUUAUUAACAACGUUGUGAUCCCUCGCCCACCGCCAAGCCCGUGCUCUCUCUAGCAUCGUCUCCCUCCGUCGGCAAAAGCGCCCAGCGACUGUCCUCGCCCGCAAACCCAAAUUUUGAGUUUUUACAGCUACAAAUGUGUUAUUUUAGAUUUUAGCUCAUUUGAUUGACAGAAGUUGUCUGUAAUAGGCUAAAUCAAACUGGAGAGACUCUUAUUAUGUACCUACUAUUCUUAGACAUAGGGAGUUUGUCAUGUAUGCUAUAUUGUUGUUGAGUACAAGUCUCAUGAAGUCAUGAUUUUGUUUUAUUUAGCUCCCGUUAUAGAAGUAUUAUUUGUGUUUUUUAUUCUUCUGUGCUAUGCAUUUUUGUCUACACUUUUAGUAAUAUUAUUUUUACUAUUUUAGUGGUAUCAUUAUGUUGUUUUAUUCCAUUUGCAGAUUCUGUAAUCUCUGGUAUUCAAAGAGAUCAUAUGGAAACCAUAUGUCCCAGAUUUAGCAUCAAUAUGGGCAAGAAAAACUGUAAUAGUUUUUGACCUGGAGGUUGGGAUAUGCAAGAAUGAGGGGGCUGUGCAAUCUGAAGAGCAGGGACUGGGACCUUUCCUUCAGUCUUCAGCACCCACGUGUUGCACAUUAUAUUUUAGGGCCAGCUAAUCAAGGGAUAAGUAAGUUCUGCUAAUCAAGGGAAAAACUACUUUUGAAUUUGAUGGCUCCUAUGUAUUGAAUUUAUCACUUUUGUGGACUCCUCAAUAGUUUCAUAAUUCUACAGCUGGAUAUUUUAGCGGUUGAGCUAUCCAAAAGAGAAUACGAGUUGCUUAGGCAAAAAACAGAGGUAACAAAAAUUGCAGACACGCUGAAACUGGUUUUGAGUGAUCCCCAGAAUAGGGCGGCAUAUGAUCAGUAUGGCAAGGAAGGGCUGAAGGCCUUUGCAGAUAUCUAGGAGUGUUGUGAGGCUGAA